GUGCUCACUUUGGCAGCACUAAAAUUGGAACUAUACAGAGAUUAGCAUGGCCCCUGUGCAAAGAUGACAUGCAAAUUUGUGAAGAGUUCCAUAUUUUA
ensembl:snRNA U6 U6 spliceosomal RNA